rnacentral:rRNA from 1 species
UGGUGCCAGCAGCCGCGGUAAUUCCAGCUCCAAUAGCGUAUAUUAAAGUUGUUGCAGUUAAAAAGCUCGUAGUUGAAUUUCGGAAUCUGUCCAUCGGUCGGGCUUCACUGUUCGUACUGGUGUGGUGGGUUCUUACCUUCUGAAUGAACCAGUCAUGCCUUUCACUUGGUGCGUUGGGAAAGCAGGACUAUUACCUUAAAAA